rnacentral:tRNA from 2 species
GGCGCGAUAGCCAAGUGGUAAGGCAGGGGACUGCAAAUCCCUUAUCGUGGGUUCGAUUCCCGCUCGCGCCUCCA